AGCUGCCACCCUUUUUAUCUUUUCCUCUCUCUCGCUCUCCUCUCUUCUGCCUUCCAAAAAGAGAAUUCACUGUUCAAUGUCAGAUUUCCUCUCAAACUCUUCCCUAAUUUGGUUGAUGAGAUUGAUUGGGAUAGGGUUAGGUUUUGGAAUUCAAUUCUGUUUUUGCAUUUGAACUAUUUUCAUUAUAUGCAAGGUUUCCAUCUUCCGCCAACUUAAGAUUUAGUAAGCGUGGAGCUACAUGCACGUACAACUAUUGUUUCCCCGAUAGAGAUAGAGGUAGAAACCUAUGCAUGCAGCUAUGCCAGUUUCCGAUUUCCUAAUUUCUGAUUCUCCAAAAUCCCUAACCCCCUUAACCCAAUCGAAUCAAAGUCCUUCUCUUUCCGACUCUCCUCUAGUCUCCACCCAAUCCGGCCAAUCCUAGAGGUUGCUGAACUGCGGCAUUGUUUUUUCCAUUUUAUUUCUCGAGGAGGCUUGCUGGUGAUAGACUGGGUGUUAUCCCUGCCUCCAGAUUUCAAAUAGUGCACAGCAGAUUUGGAAAGUAAUCAAAGAGAAACAAAGACCUGGAUCUUUCUGCUCACAAGGAUUACAUACGUUGGCAUUAGAAGAAGCUAUGCAUAGUGGUCUGGUACCAAAUUUUGGCAAACAGCUCAGCUUCACCUAGACACAUACUUUUUUGACACAGAUAUGGCAUGGAGGCCAUCUACUUUGAUGCAGGUGUAAGGAACUCAAGGCCACACCAAUUGUAAAUAAGACCAUUGGAUCUAAUUAGGUGACCCUUGGUGAGGACGUGAAAGCAGUAACUUAAAGGAUGUGGAGCGAAAACCAACAAUUGCUCUGAAUAAGGAACCAGCCAUAGAUGCGGAGUUGAAACCAGCUAAGGUGGUGAAAUGGGAAACAGCAAAAGAUAUGGAGUUGAAACCUGCUAAGAAUGUGGAGUUGAAACCAUUAGAGAAUAGUUAUACAACAUGAGUGCAAUUAUACUACCCGCAGCGAAGCGCGGGAUCAGUAACUAGUCCAAAAAAAAAAAUAUGGUUAGCUGACCAAGUAGUGUAACUCUGAUUGCAACUUCUAAAGCAAAACAAUUUUUUUCAAA